GGUUGUAAAUAUUUCCUUACAAUUGUUGAUGACUUUUCAAGGGCAACAUGGACACACCUACUGGGAUCCAAAAGCAAUGCUUUUUUCUAUGCUUAAGUCAUUUCUUUCUCUGGUCAGAACCCAAUUUAAUGCUGUGGUUCAGACUGUUAGAAGUGACAAUGCCUUAAAAUUGGGCUCUAGCAAUGAGGGUAUUUCCUUUUUUAGCAGCCAGGGGAUCAUACAUCAAACCUCGUGCCCUCAUACCCCUCAACAAAAUGGUGUUGUUGAGAGGAAGCAUAGAACUCUCCUUGAAACCUGUAGGCUUUGGUUUUUCAAUCUGGCAUGCCUGUAUCUUUCUGGGGGGAUUGUUUGUUGACACCUACCUAUCUACUUAGCAGAAUACCCACCAGAUUACUUCAUAAUAAGUCUCCCAAUGAAAUCUCGUAUGGGAAAAUUUCAACCUAUACUCACUUGAGGAUUUUUGGUUGCCUUGCCUAUGCCACUGUCCCCAUCCCUCAAAACCCACCAGAUUACUUCAUAAUAAGUCUCCUCAUGAAAUCUUGUAUGGGAAAAUUCCAACCUAUACUUACUUGAGGACAUUUGGUUGCCUUGCCUAUGCCACUGUCCCAAUCCCUCAAAGGGACAAGUUAAAGCCAAGAGCCAUUCCUUAUGUUUUCCUGGGAUAUCCUUUUGGCAAAAAGGGUUAUAGAUUAUAUGACCUUGCUUCAAAGAAAUAUUUGGUCUCCAGGGAUGUCAUCUUUCAUGAAUCAUGUUUUCCUUUAAAAUCUGUGCCUCCUUCUGCUCAUCCUCCUGCUUCAUCUUUUCCCUUUGUUCCUUCUGGAGAACAUGAUUCUGAUUCUGAUUCUCCCAUUCACCUCUCUCCUCCCUCUUUCCCACAUCUGUGUAGAUGCCUUUUCCUGUCACUGUCCCAAAUGAUUCAGCCUUCCCUUCUUCUUUCAAUCCUGCCAGCUCACCUCCUGUUUCGGCUUCUUCUCCUUCUAUUCCUGCUCCCAGAAAGUCUCAAAGACAGCAUAAUCCUCCUUCCUAUCUUAAGGAUUAUGUCUGUCAACUACCUGCCUUCUCUGGUUCAUCUUCCUCCUAUUUGGAAUCUGAGCCUCUAUAUUACUCUCAGGCUGCAUCUGUUCCAGCAUAGCAAGCUGCCAUGAGACAGGAGUUUGAAGCUUUGGACACUAAUCAUACUUGGGAUGUUGUCCCUCUUCUUCCUGGUAAGAAACCCAUUGGUUGUAAAUGGGUUUAUAAAAUAAAAUACAAGGCUGAUGGAUG
rnacentral:lncRNA from 1 species